AAAGCAAAAAAACAAAGGCUAUCCUAGCAUUAUAGCAAAUACUGCUGCAGUAAUAUCCUUAGUCUAGAAGGAGCUCUAACAUUACAAUUAUAAGCAAUAUUUCUAAGCAGUUUGUCACUGGUACAGUAUGUAUUUUUAAAUAUUCUCGCAUUCCUUUCCAGCCAUACGACAUAAAACAUCUCUGUCAUUGUCAUUUUGAUUAUGUGAGCUCGAGGGGAUUUGCCUUUAGAUUUCUC
rnacentral:lncRNA from 1 species